AUGAAGGGGGGGACGGUGCCUACAUGGCUAGAGCUACUGCUUGCAACACAGUUCUUUGCAAUAUGCACCAACCAUCUCUCCUCUACUCGCAAUGAGUGUAACCUGUUUUGCAUAGAUUGUGAGGAAUCAAAGGCUGCCUUAUGCUAUUAUUGCUGUUCACACCAUCAUUCUACCCAUCGAGUAAUCCAGAUAAGGCGGUCAUCAUACCAUGAUGUGGUCAGGGUUGCCGAGUUAAAAGAUGUACUUGAUAUCAGUGAUGUACAAACAUAUGUGAUCAACAGUGCAACGGUUGUAUUUCUUAAUGAGCGCCCACAACAACGUGGUUGUGGUGUUUCUGUGGUCAAGGCAUCAUCAUCAUCAUCAUACAAUUGUGAGAGUUGCAAUCGUGCUCUUCUUGACCCAUUCCGCUUCUGCUCCCUGGGUUGCAACCUUAAAGCAAUCAAAGAGGAUAUGAGGACAAGCAUUCCAACUAGAGAUAUUAUUGACUAUACAAGAAAGGAUGAUGAUACAGAUUGCAGUACCACAAGUGGAAAUACUGGAAACAAUGAAGAGAGUUGCAGCGAUGCAGAUUAUUGCAACGAAAGACCAUCUCCACCAAGGGUUAUUCGUCACCGCCGAAAGGGGAUCCCUCAGCGUGCACCUUUUUAUUGA
rnacentral:rRNA from 1 species